rnacentral:rRNA from 1 species
UACAGAGGUCCCGAGCGUUGUUCGGAUUUAUUGGGCGUAAAGGGUGCGUAGGCGGCGGAGUAAGUUGGGUGUGAAAUCCCGAGGCUCAACCUCGGAAUUGCAUUCAAUACUGCCUCGCUCGAGUACUGGAGAGGAGGCUGGAAUUUACGGGUGUAGCAGUGAAAUGCGUAGAUAUCGUAAGGAAGGCCGGUGGCGAAAAGCGAGCCUCUGGACAGUUACUGACGCUGAUGCACGAAGGCCAAGGGGAGCAAACGGG